GUUCCCAACCUUUGAAAGUUAGUGAGAGCCCUUUGUUCAUGCUUAGAAGAUUAUAGGUUAGAAGAGUUUAGGUUAGAAUAGUUUAGGUUAGAAGAGUAUCGGUUAGAAGAAUAUAGGUUAGAAGAGUAUAUGUUAGAAGAGUUUAGGUUAGAAGAGUAUAUGUUAGAAGAGUUUAGGUUAGAAGAGUUUAGGUUAGAAGAGUAUCGGUUAGAAGAGUUUAGGUUAGAAGAGUAUAGGUUAGAAGAGUAUAGGUUAGAAGAGUAUCGGUUAGAAGAGUAUAGGUUAGAAGAGUAUAGGUUAGAAGAGUUUAGGUUAGAAGAGUUUAGGUUAGAAUAGUUUAGGUUAGAAGAGUAUCGGUUAGAAGAGUAUAGGUUAGAAGAGUAUAUGUUAGAAGAGUUUAGGUUAGAAGAGUAUAGGUUUGCCAUCGCCUGUCUUGUCGAGUAAAUAGCAGAAAAAAAUGUUUGGAGAAACGCAACCCCAUAUCGUGCUGCGUUUUGAGGAGGUGUGAGAAUCCUGUACAGUAAACAGUUAAAUCACUGCC